rnacentral:lncRNA from 1 species
AAAGCUAAAAACCAGACUUCAAAUGUUCCACAAAGUAAUAAAUAAUGAAAUUGCAAUACCAUCUCAGGAUAUUCUCAUAAAAAGCCAGUCCAAAACUAGGUCGACUAAUCAACAAGCAUACAGACAACUCCAAUGCAACAAAGACAGUUUAAAUUCUCAUUCUUCAGCCAAACAAUCAAAGAUUGGAAUAAAUUACCACCUGAAAUUUCAAACAAAACUUCUACAGACAACAUUAAGGAUGCACUAACUCAUGAAGUACUCCUUAAAACAUGUUCUCAAUAAAAUUAAUUUGCCUAUUGUUUUUAUCUUAAUUAAGAAAAAAUAUAGAAUAAAAAAUGUAAAAAUUAAAAGUUGAAUAAAAAUUGUAAAGUUUAAUAAAUAAAAGAAUAAUUGAAAUUAAGCAACCUCACUCAGGCGUGCGCCGGAAAGUAAUAGUCAAAAUGUUGAUGUCUUUCUGUACCUAAAGAAGAAGACCCUUUAUUUUAUAUUUGUAAUACUUAAAUUAAUAAUUAGAUAUGAUUAAGUGUGCAUAUUUUCGAAAGACUUAGUCUUUAAGUUUAAGUAAACCAAUUUUGUUCAUGGUAAUACGC